ACUCGGGUGUGAUGCCUAUCACGCGGGUAUCAUCGAUAACAGAAACCAGAUGAUGCCAUACUUCGUCCCCAGCUGCUGGGUAGUUUGCCGGUAUGCCUGGUCUAUAUAUGUCUAUGCUGUUUAGUGGUGCACUCAGGUAAAGUAACAGACAAUAUCCUCCAUUCCCUACACAAUUUGUUAAAAUCUCAUUUUUAAACCUUUAACAACACACACACACAUACACACACACAACACACAAAUAUUGGUUAACAUUCCACCACUGUUAAAACUUUACUGACCAAAAUACAAGUAAUGUAUCUUCUUACUAUAUUCAUAACUAUAAUAAGUGCAAGUUAAUAACGUAAACAAAUAAGCCACGAGAUUAGCUCAGAUUGUUAUUAUUUAGCUUGGUGACCUAGAACAGUUAAUAGUGUGUGUGUGUGUGUUUUUUUAUAUAUGUAUUUAAGCAGAUGUAACAUCUACCUAAGAAUGAGAGAGUAAAACCAAAGAAUCCCCGCUAAAGUUUAUCCCUUUUUAUCUUUAGUUCAAAGUGUUUAUAUACUUUGAUUUAUUUGAUUCUAUACACAAUGACAUGAUAUGCUUUAAAAGUCUAGAAAAAUCCGAGAACAAAUGAGUGAGGCAGAACAUGUGAUUUUGAUGUAUCAGCUGUUACAGACUGAUCACACUCUGUGUGUGGGACUCUAUAAAGAUAGAAAUGUGUGUAUAUGUAUAUAUUUUCUGAAUAUCUGGAUGGGUAAAACAAUAAAAAAUCUUAAACAGAAAAUCCUUUCCAUAUUAAAAUAGUUCUUUCAAAACUAGACAUGACUAUGAUGGUUCAUCAGCACUCUGUCUUCCGGUAUCAACUCCUUGGGUGCCAAUACUGUGGAGGACCUCCUGGCACGACCUCUGAGAGGCUACAAGGAUGCAACUGUAACUUUUAUUGCUAAAAUCACUGUGCUGCUGUUUGGAGGUCUCACUAUUGGUCUCGCAUACCUCGCUCGCACCCUGCGUGGUCCAGUCACACAGAUAAACAAUACAGUGAUGGAGCCUGCGGUGGUCCAAUCAUUGGAGUCUUUUUUUUGGCAGGAAUGGUUCCCUGGGGAAAUAAAUAUGGCGCCAUCGGAGGUGGACUUCUUGGUAUCGCCGUCAACCUGUGGCUAACUGUUGGUUGCGAGCUGUACGGCGCCCCUACACGUGCCUUACCCCCGGGGCCGACACACAACUGCCCAAGAAAUAACAGUUACUCGUCCUCCAUUAUUUAUAACCUUACGACUGUAGAUAUCUCCAUGACAGAUGUGGUGAUGUCUACGGACACGAAUCCUAACAGUAACAUCACGAACGUCUCCCACGCACAUCGAGGUAACUCGUUCUCCAUUUAUGACAUUUCUUACCUGUGGCUCGCAGUCAUCGGGUUCUUGGUAACUUUCAUCAGCUGGAAUCAUUAUCAGUUUCAUCACAGGCCCCACAAACAAGGCUACUCUCGAUCCAAAGCUGGUAUUCCCUUUUACCCGGAAAAUGUUCCACAUGAAGGAACCUUCCCAGGAGGCCGAAGAUUCCUCUAACGUCAUAUUCUUGAAGACCUGCGAAAAUUCGGUGGACAAAUUUAUAGAAAAGACUGACACCAUGGCCACGGAAGGCAAGAUCGACAGUAUAAAACAAGAUCAUCUCAGUUGCCAACCCUUGAUAUAGCGACUGCUGGAAUUCGUCUGUGCGCCGAGAACCUUCAACAUUUUUACAUUCAUUUCUUUUCAUUGUUUCUUCAUUCAUUUUUUCAUUCUUAGAGCAUUAGAGUAGUGCCUGGGAUUAACCUUAAAACUAAAGUUUCAUAGACUGUAAGAACACCUCUGUCCUGUCAAAGGCAGCAGAUAAGUAUUAAAAUAUAUGUGUAAACAUAUUACUGGUUCACAGGACAAGUGAUGUGUAUAUCCACGCAUUUCUUUUCUGACUCAUUACGAAAGCUAAGGUUUGGAUGAGUACAACGGCGUGAGGCAGCAUAGUUAUUACUACAACAUUCAUUAAUACCUAGUAACCACUUCUUAAUAUCUAUUAAGCACUUUUUAAAUCCUCUUCAACACUCACUAAUUAUUCAUCAUAUUUAUUUCAUUAGAAGUAUUAAUACCUAUUCAGCACCAAAUCUUAUCCUGCGUGAACUGUAAUUUAGUCAGCGAAACGGAAAAAGAUAAUAUAAUUGUAAAUAAAAGAC